rnacentral:rRNA from 1 species
GACGAACGCUGGCGGCGUGCUUAACACAUGCAAGUCGAACGGAAAGGCCCUGCUUUUGUGGGGUGCUCGAGUGGCGAACGGGUGAGUAACACGUGAGUAACCUGCCCUUGACUUUGGGAUAACUUCAGGAAACUGGGGCUACUACCGGAUAGGAGCUCCUGCUGCAUGGUGGGGGUUGGAAAGUUUCGGCGGUUGGGGAUGGACUCGCGGCUUAUCAGCUUGUUGGUGGGGUAGUGGCUUACCAAGGCUUUGACGGGUAGCCGGCCUGAGAGGGUGACCGGCCACAUUGGGACUGAGAUACGGCCCAGACUCCUACGGGAGGCAGCAGUGGGGAAUAUUGCACAAUGGGCGGAAGCCUGAUGCAGCAACGCCGCGUUCGGGAUGACGGCCUUCGGGUUGUAAACCGCUUUCGCCUGUGACGAAGCGUGAGUGACGGUAAUGGGUAAAGAAGCACCGGCUAACUACGUG